CUCAGUAUCCAUAACUAUGCGACAUUAAGACAGAAGCUAGAUCACACCUUUGAAGUCAUGCCACUUAGAAACUCUACUGACUGUGCAAUCUAAAUAAACCCAGAACCAAAGUCACAGAGAUUCAUUAUUGACACACUAAGCAGUAGAAGGGUGACUCACAUACCCCUAUCAUGUAAAUCAGAUCCAAACAAAUAAAAUUAAAUCCCUAGUCUCCAAACAACCUCUAGAUCUAAAACUCAUCUCUACCUAAAAUACACAACCAAAAAGCAAAAUCAAUAAGCAUCUGAGUUUGUGUACACAAGUACAACACAAACAUCAUUUACGCUCGUGUUCAUUUAUAAAAAUACCUACAUUUCAGA
rnacentral:lncRNA from 1 species